AUUGAACGCUGGCGGCAGGCCUAACACAUGCAAGUCGAACGGUAACAGGAAGCAGCUUGCUGCUUUGCUGACGAGUGGCGGACGGGUGAGUAAUGUCUGGGAAACUGCCCGACGGAGGGGGAUAACUACUGGAAACGGUAGCUAAUACCGCAUAACGUCGCAAGACCAAAGAGGGGGACCUUAGGGCCUCUUGCCAUCGGAUGUGCCCAGAUGGGAUUAGCUAGUAGGUGGGGUAACGGCUCACCUAGGCGACGAUCCCUAGCUGGUCUGAGAGGAUGACCAGCCACACUGGAACUGAGACACGGUCCAGACUCCUACGGGAGGCAGCAGUGGGGAAUAUUGCACAAUGGGCGCAAGCCUGAUGCGGCCAUGCCGCGUGUAUGAAGAAGGCCUUCGGGUUGUAAAGUACUUUCAGCGGGGAGGAAGGGAGUAAAGUUAAUACCUUUGCUCAUUGACGUUACCCGCAGAAGAAGCACCGGCUAACUCCGUG
rnacentral:rRNA from 1 species